UGUUUUCGUAUUACCUACUCUAACGAUAUAAGGCUUGUACAUCGUCCCAUCACUGCUAUAAAGGCCUUCACUACUUAUUCUUGACACUAGUUCAUCUACUGCAGCAUUUGAUUGUGCACAGAUGAGAAUUCUUCUUUUACUGCAGUUUCCAACUGGUUUAUCAUUCUCUAAAUCCCCGUUAAGUUGUCUAGCUAAGGCUGCG
rnacentral:misc_RNA from 1 species